ACUUUUAAAGGAUAACAGUCAAUCCAUUGGUCUUAGGAGC
rnacentral:tRNA from 1 species